CAGCCGCCGCGGUAAAACCAGCACCUCAAGUGGUCAGGAUGAUUAUUGGGCCUAAAGCAUCCGUAGCCGGCUCUGUAAGUUUUCGGUUAAAUCUGUACGCUUAACGUACAGGCUGCCGGGAAUACUGCAAAGCUAGGGAGUGGGAGAAGUAGACGGUACUCGGUAGGAAGUGGUAAAAUGCUUUGAUCUAUCGAUGACCACCUGUGGCGAAGGCGGUCUACCAGAACACGUCCGACGGUGAGGGAUGAAAGCUGGGGGAGCAAACCGGAUUAGAUACCCGGGUAGUCCCAGCUGUAAACUAUGCAAACUCAGUGAUGCAUUGGCUUGUGGCCAAUGCAGUGCUGCAGGGAAGCCGUUAAGUUUGCCGCCUGGGAAGUACGUACGCAAGUAUGAAACUUAAAGGAAUUGGCGGGGGAGCAC
rnacentral:rRNA from 2 species